rnacentral:rRNA from 1 species
UACGUAGGUCCCGAGCGUUGUCCGGAUUUACUGGGCGUAAAGCGAGCGCAGGUGGUUCAUUAAGUCUGGUGUAAAAGGCAGUGGCUCAACCAUUGUAUGCAUUGGAAACUGGUAGACUUGAGUGCAGGAGAGGAGAGUGGAAUUCCAUGUGUAGCGGUGAAAUGCGUAGAUAUAUGGAGGAACACCGGUGGCGAAAGCGGCUCUCUGGCCUGUAACUGACACUGAGGCUCGAAAGCGUGGGGAGCAAACAGG